rnacentral:ribozyme from 1 species
CACUGGCAAAAUCCGAUCCCUGCCUCCACGUGGCGCUGCCGGAUGUUGGUCUUGGUGAGCCACCUCAGCCAAGACCUAACCAAAGGGACGG